UCAUGUCUAGUCUUGUUAUAGUAUUACUCUUACAGUCCGUCUCCUUCGAGGACGGGCGUGUUCUAUUGCGAUGAUCACACUUGCCCUCCACCUUUGGCCUUCAAGUCUCGUCUUCUGUAAUCCUGACAUUAAGGAAGAUCGUGCAUGGAUCACCUGUGGCCUUGUGGGCAGACCGGAUUGGUUCGUAGUCAGCAUUGGUUGUUCUUACGUUCCUUAUUUCACGAUAUCUCUAUAAGGUGUUUCAGAUACCCAUGACCUUACUGGUGUGCUGACCAUAAGGUAGCUGCCACGUAGCUCCUGCAUGGGCCCCACUCGUCCAAGAUCCGGUGUUCCAGUCCUCUCUCCCGUUCUUCAAACCUUGUUCAAGCAAGGUUCUCAACGUACGCAUCUGGUGCAACCCGAAACUGCCUGCAGAAUUCGCACCACUAACGUUGACGUCCGUCCACCCACGUCGCACUUGCUUACUGGCGCAGACAUUCUUCCUGGAUAACAUCCUCUUCGUGUUGCCUCCUCUUUGCAAUGUGGCCGAGUCACCUGAACCGGGAACUACGAACCAGGAACCACGGACAACAUUUAUCGUCGGCGAUUCGUCAAGGACCACCGAAAGAGCCAUUGCUGUGGAGCGGCGUAAAACUGGCAGCUUCUGAACCUUCGAUCGCGCCUGGUGCACUCGCUGUACGAUGGUGGAUGGCCUUCCACGUCCAGCACAUGCCUUUGAGAUCGGUGCUACUCCAGAUGUCCCUGCAGCCGCAUUGCACCUUUACCCUGAAAUAUCGGGCUUCACGUUCCUUUAUCACUAGCUCGCCUCCUCUGGUGUUCAUCGCACAGGGAAGCCAACCACUGCCGCGUGCCCUCCCGUCUUCACUCCAUGU